rnacentral:rRNA from 2 species
UUAAAUUGAAGAGUUUGAUCAUGGCUCAGAUUGAACGCUGGCGGCAGGCCUAACACAUGCAAGUCGAACGGUAACAGGAAUCAGCUUGCUGAUUCGCUGACGAGUGGCGGACGGGU